rnacentral:rRNA from 1 species
AUACCAGCUCUCCGAGUGGUGUGGAUGUUUAUUGGGCCUAAAGCAUCCGUAGCUUGCUGUUCAAGUCCCCUGUUAAAUCCAAUGAAUUAAUUGUUGGUGUGCGGGGGAUACUGUUCGGCUAGGGGACGGGAGAGGCAGACGGUAUUUUCGGGGUAGGGGUGAAAUCCUAUAAUCCCGGGAAGACCACCAGUGGCGAAGGCUGUCUGCUAGAACGCGCCCGACGGUGAGGGAUGAAAGCUGGGGGAGCGAACCGGAUUAGAUACCCGGGUAGUCCCAGCUGUAAACUAUGCAGGCUAGGUGUUUGGGCGGCCACGUGCCGCUCUAGUGCCGCAGGGAAGCUGUUAAGCCUGCCGCCUGGGGAGUACGGUCGCAAGAUUGAA